rnacentral:rRNA from 1 species
GAUGAACGCUAGCUACAGGCUUAACACAUGCAAGUCGAGGGGCAGCAUUUUAGUUUGCUUGCAAACUGAAGAUGGCGACCGGCGCACGGGUGAGUAACACGUAUCCAACCUGCCGAUAACUCCGGAAUAGCCUUUCGAAAGAAAGAUUAAUACCGGAUAGCAUACGAAUAUCGCAUGAUAUUUUUAUUAAAGAAUUUCGGUUAUCGAUGGGGAUGCGUUCCAUUAGUUUGUUGGCGGGGUAACGGCCCACCAAGACUACGAUGGAUAGGGGUUCUGAGAGGAAGGUCCCCCACAUUGGAACUGAGACACGGUCCAAACUCCUACGGGAGGCAGCAGUGAGGAAUAUUGGUCAAUGGGCGAGAGCCUGAACCAGCCAAGUAGCGUGAAGGAUGAAGGCUCUAUGGGUCGUAAACUUCUUUUAUAUGGGAAUAAAGUUUUCCACGUGUGGAAUUUUGUAUGUACCAUAUGAAUAAGGAUCGGCUAACUCCGUGCCAGCAGCCGCGGUAAUACGGAGGAUCCGAGCGUUAUCCGGAUUUAUUGGGUUUAAAGGGAGCGUAGGUGGAUUGUUAAGUCAGUUGUGAAAGUUUGCGGCUCAACCGUAAAAUUGCAGUUGAAACUGGCAGUCUUGAGUACAGUAGAGGUGGGCGGAAUUCGUGGUGUAGCGGUGAAAUGCUUAGAUAUCACGAAGAACUCCGAUUGCGAAGGCAGCUCACUAGACUGUCACUGACACUGAUGCUCGAAAGUGUGGGUAUCAAACAGGAUUAGAUACCCUGGUAGCCCACACAGUAAACGAUGAAUACUCGCUGUUUGCGAUAUACAGUAAGCGGCCAAGCGAAAGCAUUAAGUAUUCCACCUGGGGAGUACGCCGGCAACGGUGAAACUCAAAGGAAUUGACGGGGGCCCGCACAAGCGGAGGAACAUGUGGUUUAAUUCGAUGAUACGCGAGGAACCUUACCCGGGCUUAAAUUGCAACAGAAUAUAUUGGAAACAGUAUAGCCGUAAGGCUGUUGUGAAGGUGCUGCAUGGUUGUCGUCAGCUCGUGCCGUGAGGUGUCGGCUUAAGUGCCAUAACGAGCGCAACCCUUAUCUUUAGUUACUAACAGGUCAUGCUGAGGACUCUAGAGAGACUGCCGUCGUAAGAUGUGAGGAAGGUGGGGAUGACGUCAAAUCAGCACGGCCCUUACGUCCGGGGCUACACACGUGUUACAAUGGGGGGUACAGAAGGCGGCUACCUGGUGACAGGAUGCUAAUCCCAAAAACCUCUCUCAGUUCGGAUCGAAGUCUGCAACCCGACUUCGUGAAGCUGGAUUCGCUAGUAAUCGCGCAUCAGCCAUGGCGCGGUGAAUACGUUCCCGGGCCU